UAAAUGGAGGCAAGAUUGAUGCAAGUUGUUGUGUUGACACAUAUCACAAACGAGCUUGUACUUACCAGUCUGGUUUGACCACAGGGAUAUUGUGUUGUAAAAUGCCUGGUGUGAGCCCCAGAAUCCUGGUGCCUCCACA